CUCUAUGGCCAUCCCACCCUGAAUAUGCCCUGUCUUGUCUGAUCUCGGAAGUUAAGCAGGGUUGGGCCUGGCUGGUACUUGGAUGAGUGAAAUGCAACUUCUUAACCUGUCUUUCUCCACCUAGGGCUGAAGCUC
rnacentral:rRNA from 1 species